rnacentral:rRNA from 1 species
ACGUCAAGUCCUCAUGGUCCCUUAUCGGUAGGGCUUCACACGUCAUACAAUGGUCGGUACAGAGGGUUGCCAAGCCGCGAGGCGGAGCCAAUCCAAAAAGCCGGCCUCAGUUCAGAUUGUAGGCUGCAACUCGCCUGCAUGAAGAUGGAGUUGCUAGUAACCGCAGGUCAGCAAUACUGCGGUGAAUACGUUCCCGGGUCUU